rnacentral:rRNA from 2 species
UAUAGACCCGAAACCCGGUGAUCUAGCCAUGGGCAGGUUGAAGGUUGGGUAACACUAACUGGAGGACCGAACCGACUAAUGUUGAAAAAUUAGCGGAUGACCUGUGGCUGGGGGUGAAAGGCCAAUCAAACCGGGAGAUAGCUGGUUCUCCCCGAAAGCUAUUUAGGUAGCGCCUCGUGAAUUCAUCUCCGGGGGUAGAGCACUGUUUCGGCUAGGGGGCCAUCCCGGCUUACCAACCCGAUGCAAACUGCGAAUACCGGAGAAUGUUAUCACGGGAGACACACGGCGGGUGCUAACGUCCGUCGUGAAGAGGGAAACAACCCAGACCGCCAGCUAAGGUCCCAAAGUCAUGGUUAAGUGGGAAACGAUGUGGGAAGGCCCAGACAGCCAGGAUGUUGGCUUAGAAGCAGCCAUCAUUUAAAGAAAGCGUAAUAGCUCACUGGUCGAGUCGGCCUGCGCGGAAGAUGUAACGGGGCUAAACCAUGCACCGAAGCUGCGGCAGCGAACGUAUCACCCAAGACAACUUUACGGAGUUGACGAUUGACGGAGCGAAGCGACGUCAAAGCGUUCAUUAAAGUCGAGUUGGCUUAGGGAUACGUUCGUUGGGUAGGGGAGCGUUCUGUAAGCCUGUGAAGGUGUGUCGUGAGGCAUGCUGGAGGUAUCAGAAGUGCGAAUGCUGACAUAAGUAACGAUAAAGCGGGUGAAAAGCCCGCUCGCCGGAAGACCAAGGGUUCCUGUCCAACGUUAAUCGGGGCAGGGUGAGUCGACCCCUAAGGCGAGGCCGAAAGGCGUAGUCGAUGGGAAACGGGUUAAUAUUCCCGUACUUGGUGUUACUGCGAAGGGGGGACGGAGAAGGCUAUGUUGGCCGGGCGACGGUUGUCCCGGUUUAAGCGUGUAGGUGUGUGUUCCAGGUAAAUCCGGUU